CGGGGUGCGGGCUAAAGGCUGGCCACCUGCCUUGGGAGCAGGGCAUCAAGGGGGUUCGAUUCCCUCCACCCCGACCA
rnacentral:tRNA from 1 species